GGAAGAUGCUCACCGGCCCUUUAUUUAUGCCCAGCGAUGACCUCUCUGACAAGGUGCAGAGCUUAGCUGAUUGGUGAACAGUGAUUGGUUUCCGCUUUGUUCACAGUGGCUAAGUUCUGCACCUGAAGAGAAGGUGAGAUGGGGACAGUUAAGUUGGAGCCGCUGGGGCAGAGGCC
ensembl:miRNA cja-mir-27b cja-mir-27b